GGGAAUGUGGCUUUGUGGUAGAGUGCUUGCCUAGCAUGCAUGAAGCCCUGGGUUCAAUUCCUCAGUACCA
rnacentral:tRNA from 1 species